AAAAGUUAAGAACCUUCUACUUUCGUUAGUGGGAAUAUCUACAGAAGUUACGACGGAAACAAAGAAAUAUUCGACAAAAUCAUACAACUUAGAGGACCAUAAGCAAUCACAGUCCGCCCACAACAUAUUAUUUCAUAACUUAUUUAGCGUUCACAACCAAAGGAUGAUUAAAGGACAUAAGAAUGUUAAUUUUCCUCAACGAAGUCAAUG
rnacentral:lncRNA from 1 species